rnacentral:lncRNA from 1 species
CUGUUUUCAAAACAGAGCAAACUUUCUACUGAAGAAACCUGUUAAUAUUUCUGCAGAUUGAGGGCAUGACAUCAGACAAAUUAGAUAUGGUAUGCAUCUCUGUUGCAUAUGUAUGCAGGAGUGGAAUUGCUGACUUAUAGCUUAUCAUGUAAAAGUUCGUAAGUUACAGGCAAACAAUAUUCCAAUGUGGUUGUAUCAAUUUGCCCUCCAUCAGCAGUGUGCAAAUUAAUUUAAAAAUUAUGUCUACACAAAAACGUGCACACAGAUAUUUGUAUGCCUUAUCAUAACUGCUAAAACCUGGAAGCAACCAGCAUGCCCAUCAAUAGAUUUUCAGGGGAGGAAGAAAAAACAGUUUGGACCUUAAAAAAUAAGCAAGCUGGCCGGGCGCGGUGGCUCACACCUGUUAUCCCAGCACUUUGGGAGGCUGAGGCUGGUGGAUCACAAGGUCAAGAGAUCAAGACCAUCCUGGCCAACACGGAGUAUAUAUGCCAAAAUUGGAGCUGA